CAGCUGUCCUUCAUCACAACAGAAGACACAGAAAUCCUCCUCAUCAAAAACAUGACUUUGAUCUGCGUCCUCAUCUGGACUCUCCUCUGCUGCUGCUUCACAGAGGUCAGAGGUCAGGUCACACUGACUCAGCCUGCAGCAUUGAGAGCUAAUCUGGGAAGAUCUGCCAACAUAAACUGUAGAACCAGUCAGAAUGUUUAUGUUUAUAGCGGCUCCCACUGUUUAGCCUGGUACCAACAGAAAGAUGGACAAACUCCUAAGCGGCUCAUUUAUUAUACCAGCACUCGAGAAUCAGGGACUCCAAGUCGUUUCUCAGGCAGUGGAUCAAACUCUGACUUCACUCUGACCAUCAGUGGAGUUCAGGCUGAAGAUGCUGCAGUUUAUUACUGUCAGAGUUACCACAGCGGUGGGGUGUUCACACAGUGAAAAACAGUCGUACAAAAACCUCCCUCAGUCAAACUGAACUGCAACUAUGUUGCUGCAGCUUCCA